rnacentral:lncRNA from 1 species
GUCAGGUGACCAAAGAGACUCUGGGAAUCUGAAGAUAUCACUGUUUCUACAUCCUGAUCCAUUUAACUGCCAAAGACAUAUGUAUGCACAUAUGUGAAUUAUAUUAAUAAGAUUACUCCAUAGCUUUUCUAACUGCAUCAACAACAGAGCCAAACUGAUAAAACAGCACGUGUGCCAAGCCAGAAGUUUUUUGCCAGCAAAAAGCUGCUGAUCUACAAAUAUCUCUUUAACAAUAUAUUUGUUUACUUCAUAAAUCAUCAGUAUGAAUGUUUAUAGCUUUCAUUGUUUGCCAUAUGAAUAUUUGUUUUCUUAAAAUGUCAAAAAUUGAACAAAAAGUGCAUUAAAAAUCUGUAAUUUAGAUUGAUAAGAGUUUUGCAAAUAAUUGUAAAUAGGUUAAUUGCAGUUACAGUGUUUAUAUUAUCAAAUAGGUUGUAUUUGGAUGGAUUUACUCUAUAUUUUUGUUUGUAGCAUUAUUCUUUUGAUUUCAUAGCUUCUAUUUGUGAUUUUGCUCUAACACUGGCCACUUUUUUAGUAUUCCACAUGGAAUUUAAUUGGCUCUUAGUAGGUUUUUAUUUAUUAUGAUUCUCUCAACAGGAAAUGUCAUUUUGGUCCAUCCUAACCGUAUCAUCCUAACAGUGAGCAUAAAUAUACGUGGUACCACGUGACAAUGAGUUUCAGAAAGCUGAUGGAAACCUCUGGAACACUGAAUGACCUUCAUUUUGAUGUUCAGUUAUGGAAAAUAAUUUUUUGUACUUUUUGUACAUUUUAUUAAGGCAUUAAAAAAUUAACCUGUUACAGUUUUUCUUGAUCGUUUUUGUUCGCUCGUGAUGUUUUUACAGGGUCUGUUUAGUUAGAAAUUAGCUAAAUCUGACAAAACCUCCUUUUGAAGAUAUAAGCACAUUAUAAAUGUUAUACUUUGAGUUAUAUAAUAUAAACCACUUGUUUUCCUCAUUUGGAUAAAAGUGUCAAAUGUCAAUAGAGCCAUGUUUAUGUAAAAAGUUGUCUAGUUUUAUAUGAGUGCUGUGUGUGUUCAGUAUUUUUCUAUGACUGACUCUUAAGGGUGUGGCUCAAGAU